UACAGAGGGUGCGAGCGUUAAUCGGAAUUACUGGGCGUAAAGCGCGCGUAGGUGGUUAGUUAAGUUGGAUGUGAAAUCCCCGGGCUCAACCUGGGAACUGCAUUCAAAACUGACUGACUAGAGUAUGGUAGAGGGUGGUGGAAUUUCCUGUGUAGCGGUGAAAUGCGUAGAUAUAGGAAGGAACACCAGUGGCGAGGGCGACCAACUGGACUGAUACUGACACUGAGGUGCGAAAGCGUGGGGAGCAAACAGG
rnacentral:rRNA from 1 species